ensembl:lncRNA
AGGAGGAAAUAUGUGGUUUGCUUUUUUAUUUUUAGUUUUAUUUUUUUAUUUAUUUUUUUAUUUACUUAUUUAUUUUUUACUUAUUUUUUUGUUGUUGUUGUUGUUAUGACUUGUCAUUUUGCCUAAAGGUGAGAUAUUUGUCUUGUGAAACAUUGCAGUUGCAUGUUGAGUUGCUGGAAUUAAUGUUUUUAAGUCAUUUAUAUAAAUAAAAGGGAGGGGGAAAAAAAAGAAUGUGGAUAUGUGAUGAUUUUCAGUAUGAAGAAAAUGUUAUAGCAACGCCCCUCUGAGGAACGUCACUUACUAAAAGUGAAAGCAAAACUGCACAGCUUUUAUAUUUCAGUACACCAGCCCAUGACUGCAUUUGUGCAAAACUGCAACUGGAGCAAGAAUGGCUUUUCAGGUUUUAAUCCGCUUUAGUGAUAAGAAAGAUACACCAUUAACUGUAGCAACUUCAAGUGAUGAAUUUGAGAAAACCAAAAUUCAAGAAAUAAAAGAAAAAUUCAAACGGGAAAAUCCAGGAGCAACAGAAAUAGACAGAAUACGAGUGGUUUUUGGAACACGUCAGCUGGAGGAUGACAAAACACUUGGGUUUUACAACAUCACACAUUCAAGUGUUCUUAUAUUUGUGAUCAGAAUGGAUGGUGGUGGAGGAGGUAUGACUACAAAUUGCAUAUUGUUUUGAUUGUUCAAAUUAUGUUUAAGCAGUAAAACAUUUUUUAUAGGUCUAGAAGUAGAGAUGAUGGUGUUGAAAGCCAUGAAAUUGAAACACUAAGGUAUGGAGAUUGUCAAAAAUGCAUGUGACCACAUCGCAUUUGUAGCUAAAAUUAGUCUCAGGUUAUGCAUGUAAAGUCUUGGUUACAUACAUAGCAUUCCCUGAUGGAGGGAUCGGAGACGUUAUGUUGAACAAUAUCUCUUGAGUUUAAGAGAAAACGCCAAAGAAAAUUGGCAAGUGGAUUUUGCCGAGCCACUUCCUGUGUCUACAGGUAUAUAAGACGACAGCAUGCAUCCAUUUAUUAGGUUUUACGCUGAGGAGGCGAGAACAUGUCCCGGCAACAUCGAAUGGUUCAAGGUUGUAGCAUGGGGACAUAACGUCUCCGUUUAAGGUGUCACCCAGCCCGCAGCUCAACAGAUGUCUGCCGGAGAGGGGAGCCAGCACCCAGGAAGAGACAACACUCCGAGUGGAGUGUGCUCUCACCCCCAGGGGGUACGGCUCACCUUGGGAUUGGUACGCCAAGGUGAUGGCAUCCACUAUCCAGUGGGCCAACCUCUGCUUUGGAGACAGCCUUCCCUUUCUGCUGACCUCCAAAGCAGACAAGGAGCUGCUCAGAGCUUCUAAAACGCUAGAUGUGGUCCACGUAUAUGCAUAAAGCUCUUACGGGACACAGCAAUGCCAAGGCUGGAUCUGCCUCCUCAGGGGGCAGCGCUUGCAGGUUCACCACCUUAUCUCAGAAGGGAGUGGUGGGAACCUUGGGCACGUAUUCAGGCCAGGGUCUCAGGAAAACCUGAGACUAGGCCGGCCCAAACACAAGGCACUCUUCACCAGUGGUGUAUAAAGUACCUGAAAAUCAUAGUCAAGUAAAAGUACAGAUAUCUUACCAGAAAAUGACUUUGGUAGAAUUUGAAGUCACCGUUUAGAAUAUUACUUGAGUAAAAGUCUUAAAGUAUGUGAUAUUUAUUGUACUUAAGUACAUUAACGAUUUAAAAAAAUACUUUUCAUACUUAAGUAUUGAAAGUAAAAGUACAAGUAAAUGCAAAAUGGAAAAGAAGCAAAUAAAUAUGUGUAUAUAAAAAUGUUCA